GACGAACGCUGGCGGCGUGCUUAACACAUGCAAGUCGAACGGAAAGGCCCUGCUUUUGUGGUGUGCUCGAGUGGCGAACGGGUGAGUAACACGUGAGUAACCUGCCCUUGACUUUGGGAUAACUUCAGGAAACUGGGGCUAAUACCGGAUAGGAGCUCCUGCUGAAUGGUGGGGGUUGGAAAGUUUCGGCGGUUGGGGAUGGACUCGCGGCUUAUCAGCUUGUUGGUGGGGUAGUGGCUUACCAAGGCUUUGACGGGUAGCCGGCCUGAGAGGGUGACCGGCCACAUUGGGACUGAGAUACGGCCCAGACUCCUACGGGAGGCAGCAGAGGGGAAUAUUGCACAAUGGGCGGAAGCCUGAUGCAGCAACGCCGCGUGCGGGAUGACGGCCUUCGGGUUGUAAACCGCUUUCGCCUGUGACGAAGAGUGAGUGACGGUAAUGGGUAAAGAAGCACCGGCUAACUACGUG
rnacentral:rRNA from 1 species